CAGGGCGUAGUUUACCGGCAGAAUGCGCGGAUGGGGUCCGUGUGGACUGGGUUCAAUUCCCAGCGCCCUGA
rnacentral:tRNA from 1 species